UACGUAGGGGGCGAGCGUUGUCCGGAGUUACUGGGCGUAAAGCGUGCGCAGGCGGUCUGUUAAGACCGAUGUGAAAUCCCCGGGCUCAACCUGGGAAUGGCCGUUGAAACUGGCGAACUGGAGUGUGGCAGAGGGGGGUGGAAUUCCGCGUGUAGCAGUGAAAUGCGUAGAGAUGCGGAGGAACACCGAUGGCGAAGGCAGCCCCCUGGGCUGACACUGACGCUCAGGCACGAAAGCGUGGGGAGCAAACAGG
rnacentral:rRNA from 1 species